GGGGCAUGAAGCGCCCGCGACGGCCACUGGAGCUGGAGGAUGGAAUCUCAGAUGCCGACGACGACGACGAUGUUGGGCGCAAGGCAAGCACGAGGGUGGAUUCUAGCCUUGAUCCGAUCGAUAGUGAUACCACGUCCGAGGAUGCAUCCUUGACCAA